UGUUUUCGUGUUUUUACAGGUUGGGAAGCACAUGUACAGCAGUGCUCACACACACACGAUAAAAAAGGUGUUUUGUUUGGUUUUGUUUUCCUUAAGAAAUGGACCAAGAAACUGUGGUUGUUAAGAGAACAGCCACGGCUUCAGGCUGAAUCCUGCAGGGUCAUCUACUUUCAACUCACUAACCUGGAUGCAGGUGCAGUCACCGACUGUCACAGGAAGAGGUCCUCAGGUCCUUUCAUUUGUGACUGUGUCUGUGUUCGCUCUUCAGAUGUGCAGAUAUCUUUGGAUCUUUUGGAUCUUUACUUGAGAGCUACAAAAGUACAAGGAAAAGUUUCAGCUUAUUCCUUCAGAUAUGCAUGUUUGUUCUGA
rnacentral:lncRNA from 1 species